AGGACCUGAUAGUCAGCCAUUUUCGGUGACAUGGAUUUGUUUGCCGAUACCUUCCUGGUGGAAAAACCGUGGCUCAGCAGCGGCCCCGCAGGAGGCGGAGACACGUUCCCGGAAAAUGCAGUGCCCAGCUCAGCUCCGGCAUGCGCCGCUGCUCCUCCUGACUGACAGAGUGCUCGGAGGGGUGUUGAGGGACGAGCUUAUGGAUCGAUGUCUCACUCCGCCUCGGCCCAGCUGUAGCUGUUGUUUCUCACACAGAGAGGCUUUGUCGGGGCUCUACAACAAAAACACCUGAUGUCUGCAGACAUUGGAGGCUCUAUUAGGAACCUGGAAACACUCAGAUGGAGAUCACACAACAGGCGGAGGAAGAAGAGUUGAAAUGGAGGCAUGUUGUUGUCGGCG